CGCUGGUGUGUGUGCAGUGCUGUUUGCCACUAAUUGAUCACAAUCAGUUACAGUUUUUGUUCCAUCUCCACUUGACUAGCCUUAA
rnacentral:sRNA from 1 species